rnacentral:rRNA from 1 species
UACGAAGGGGGCUAGCGUUGCUCGGAAUUACUGGGCGUAAAGCGCACGUAGGCGGCUUUCUAAGUCGGGGGUGAAAUCCUGGAGCUCAACUCCAGAACUGCCUUCGAUACUGGAGAGCUUGAGUCCGGGAGAGGUGAGUGGAACUGCGAGUGUAGAGGUGAAAUUCGUAGAUAUCGGGAGGAACACCGGUGGCGAAGGCGGCGACCUGGGUGGAUACUGACGCUGAGGUGCGAAAGCGUGGGGAGCAAACAGG